rnacentral:lncRNA from 1 species
GAUUCCUCCUUAUGAUAAAAGAGAAAAAGGCACCGACGUCACACCUAACGAAUAUAAGUCAAAUUUUGGUAAGUAAAUUAUUUUCAACUUUAUGUACUAUUGACAUAUUUGAUAUGUCAGCUAAAUUAGUAGACAUAUACUUUUCUAACUGAGUUACUUCAAUUUUUAUUGUUAAUUGAUUUAUUUUUGUAAAAUCAUAAAUUCUAUGGGGACUCAUUCGGGACAAACUAAAUAAACUUUGACCAAGCGUUUUGUAACAAAAAACGAAUGAGGGAUUUUUACAACAUGAAUGAGAAAAACAUAAAAUGUCUUCUGAUUGUUCUGAUAAACUUUACAAUUAUUUAAUUGCAACUUUAAAUUUUACUAUUAAAUACAAUCCACUCAAAGAUAAAUCAUAUACACAAAUUUAAUACUAAAUACUGUAAUUUCAAAAUAUCAUAUUUUUUAAUUUUACUUAAACUCAUCAUAUGCCAAUCUCUUGAAGUUAAUGUGCAAGCUAUUUAACCUUUUUGGACUUUUUCCAUUAAAAAAACAUUGAUUUAUCUAAAUGUUUGUACUUGCUUUAUUUUUUUUUGAAAAAUAGAAGUAUUAUUCAUUCAAACAGGAAAAGGAAGUCCUGUGAAAACAACCAAACACUUGCAUAAGCAAGCAAUCCAGACAAAUCAAAGCAAAAAGAAAAGAAGCUCACAACAGCGGACCACGAAGCAAAAACAAACAAAUCAACCAAGGUAAAAGAAGAACAAAUGCCUAGAUCACACCAGAAGCAACAUCAAAGGGCCAAGCUCCCAAGGAGCAGAUCAUUCCCAGACAAAACCCAACAGCAGCAAAGCAUGAAGAGAGAGGAAAGAAGAAAUCAGCUGCGCAUCAAAGAUCCAGGAGAGAUUCGUAUCAUCCACACCAGGAGAACACACAGCAAAACUCAACGCAGCAUUAAGCAUUAAUAAUCAGCAUGUCAUUAAGCCUUCCCACCCCCUCUUUAGCAAGUUUGUCUGCAAAGUCAUUCCCAGAUCUAGGAAGAUGUCUUAUGCUCCACCUGCCAACUUUGGAUUUAAGAUAUGUACUUGCUUUAUUAAAUUAUAGUGUAAUGAAUAAAUGCUGGAGGAGAGUUACUCUUCCUUUUUUUGUCGGUUUCCUUUGCCAGAUGGCCGUCUGACCCUUCUUGUAUGUUUUUUUUUCUAGAAUGUUCUGCUGUUAAACUUGUU